ACGCGCACGCGGCCCUGAGCGAGGCGGGGCUGCUCCCGGGCUGGACAAGGAGGUGCUGGCGUAGUCCGACUAGCAGCAGCCGCUGCUCCCCGGUGGUUCAGAGCCGCGCGAGCUGAGCGUUUCGCCUACAAAAGCAUCUUCGGAUCGGUUUCCCACCGCCGAAUGUUGCUUGAGCCAAUGUGACUGGCUCUAGGAGGAAAUAAAUCACAUCUGUCAAAAGAGCCUCGAGUCGAAGGAUAGGAGAAACCUCGAAUUUGGUGGGUGCUGACCAAGGCACCAUGCAAGGGGUUAACUUUGCUUUAGGGGGUGACCUGGCUGGCUGCUGCAGUUGCCGUUAACAGCCACCGAAUGGAUGAGACUCCAGAUCCACCUCCUCCUGCGUUCCUCAAAACAGGAAGAUGGAGAACUACGGAGAGCUACUUCCCAGAGGGGCCGAUGGCAAGCACUCCCUUCAAGGAAACUGGGGAAGUUGCCCGAUUUUGAUCGUUUCCAUCCAAACACCCACCAGACAAUAUAUACAUACACAUUUCUAAAUUAACAGCAUUGGCAAAAACUGAAAAUACUUGUAUUUAAAGUUGAUGACAGUAUGAAAACAAGAAAUCCGUCCGGGCGCGGUGGGUCACGCCUGUAACCCCAGCACUGAUCACAAGGUCAGGAGUUCGAGACUAGCCUGGCUAACAUGGUGAAACCCCCUUCUCUACAAAAAUUGGCUGGGCGUAGUGGCGCGUGCCUGUAUUCCCAGCUACUUGGGAGGCUGAGGCAGGAGAAUAGCUUGAGCCCGGGAGGUGGAGGUUGCCGUGAGC